GAUGAACGCUGGCGGCGUGCCUAAUACAUGCAAGUCGAGCGAACAGACGAUGAUCUUGCUCCUCUGACGUUAGCGGCGGACGGGUGAGUAACACGUGUAUAACCUACCUAUAAGACUGGGAUAACUUCGGGAAACCGGAUCUAAUACCGGAUAAUAUAUUGAACCGCAUGGUUCAAUAGUGAAAGACGGUUUUGCUGUCACUUAUAGAUGGAUCGGCGCCUCAUUGGCUGGUUGGUAAGGUAACGGGUUACCAAGGCGACGAGGCGUAGACGACCUGAGAGGGUGAUAGGCCGCCCUGGAGCUGAGACACGGUCCAGAGUACUAAGGGAGGCAGCAGUAGGGAAUCGUCGGCAAUGGGCGAAAGCCUGACGGAGCAACGGGGAGUGAGAGAUGAAGGUGUUCGGAGCGUAAAACUCUGUUAUUAGGGAAGAACAAAUGUGUAAGGAACUAUGCACGUAUUGACGGUAACUAAUAAGAAAGCCACGGCUAACUACGUG
rnacentral:rRNA from 1 species